rnacentral:lncRNA from 1 species
ACAGCCCCACCAGUCCAGACAAUGGAAACAGCUUCAAAGGAAUAACAUGCUUUUGCCGCUCCCCUUGGAGUUGGUCUGUAUCCUGCUAUUCCCCACCCCCCGUCAUCCCCAAGCUCUCGUUUGAGCAUGUUGUCCCUAAGACUAUUUCCUGUAUGUUGAGGUGUUUUAGGUUUGUAGUAGUGGAUUUCAGAUCUUCAAUACCUGUAUUUCUUACAUGAUAAAUUUUAUCGGAUAAAGUAAAACUUUAUGGUGGCAGUAGCUCAUGGAAAAGAAAAGGAAGGCAUUGUAAAGAGGAUUUGCACAACUGGGCUAUUACUGGGAAGAACUCCGGGAUGAACAAUCCUUUUAGGCUUUUAUUUCCCAGUUGCUUCUCAGACGCACCAUGUGGGAAAGGAAAAGGAUUAUUCGAUCAUCUCAUUAGUGGACCAAUAAUUUUAUGCAUGGGCGGUGGAAAUAAAUUCAAGACUAACAUUCAAAUUUUGAGGAUUG